AACAAUAGAACACUGAAACUGGAGAGAAAGAGAGAGAGAGAGAGAAGAAGGGGGACAAAGUGGGAGAGAUAGUUGGGGUAGAGCAGCAUGGAGAAAGUCUUCAUCACCACGUUACCCUUCUGUUAGCUCUGUGUCCAGCUGAGUCAGAGGGUUGGAGGUGACUGGACUUGUAGGAGGACAGGUGGAAAUCAAAUGCUCACAUAAGUUCGCAAAGAGCAACAAAAAAUACUUCUGCAAGGACACUGCACUGGUUCAGAUAUUCUGGUUCACACUGAGGACAGCAAGGACUAUAGUAAGACAGGGAGAUACAGUAUAGAUGACAGAGGAGAUGGAGACUUGACUGUUACCAUCAACAACCUAAAGAUGUCAGACUCUGGGACCUACUGGUGGGAGUGGACAGAUUCUUCAUAGACACGUCCCAGGAAGUGCUUCUCACAGUUUUAGACGCUUCGCCACUCAGCCUGACAUCACUAGGAGCAGUCCCCGUCUCCCUGUCAUAGUCAGCAGACAACAACAGU